rnacentral:rRNA from 1 species
UAGGGAAUCUUCCACAAUGGACGCAAGUCUGAUGGAGCAACGCCGCGUGAGUGAAGAAGGCUUUCGGGUCGUAAAACUCUGUUAUUGAAGAAGAACGUGUGUGACAGUAACUGGUCAUGCAGUGACGGUAUUCAAUCAGAAAGUCACGGCUAACUACGUGCCAGCAGCCGCGGUAAUACGUAGGUGGCAAGCGUUGUCCGGAUUUAUUGGGCGUAAAGCGAGUGCAGGCGGUCUUUUAAGUCUGAUGUGAAAGCCUUCGGCUUAACCGAAGAAGGGCAUCGGAAACUGGGAGACUUGAGUGCAGAAGAGGAGAGUGGAACUCCAUGUGUAGCGGUGAAAUGCGUAGAUGUAUGGAAGAACACCAGUGGCGAAGGCGGCUCUCUGGUCUGUAACUGACGCUGAGGCUCGAAAGCGUGGGUAGCAAACAGGAUUAGAUACCCUGGUAGUCCACG